rnacentral:tRNA from 1 species
GCCUGGGUGGCUCAGUCAGUUAAGCGCCAGACUUUGGCUCAGGUCGUGACCUCACGGUUCGUGGGUUCGAGCCCCGUGUCAGGCU